GGCGCUCUACUCCACAACAAUAGACGCCCCGCCUGAAAAAAAGGAGGAAAUGAGCCCUUGCUCGGGCUGCGGCAGCGUGGAGACCUGUCGUAAAGCGGGCACAACCCGCGAGGACGCCUUUUGCGGAGGCAGGGCGUUCGGAGCAAAGAAUAUGGCA
rnacentral:ncRNA from 1 species